rnacentral:rRNA from 1 species
AGUCGAGCGAACUGAUUAAGAGCUUGCUCUUAUGAAGUUAGCGGCGGACGGGUGAGUAACACGUGGGUAACCUGCCCAUAAGACUGGGAUAACUCCGGGAAACCGGGGCUAAUACCGGAUAAUAUUUUGCGCCUCAUGGCGCAAAAUUGAAAGGCGGCUUCGGCUGUCACUUAUGGAUGGACCCGCGUCGCAUUAGCUAGUUGGUGAGGUAACGGCUCACCAAGGCAACGAUGCGUAGCCGACCUGAGAGGGUGAUCGGCCACACUGGGACUGAGACACGGCCCAGACUCCUACGGGAGGCAGCAGUAGGGAAUCUUCCGCAAUGGACGAAAGUCUGACGGAGCAACGCCGCGUGAGUGAUGAAGGCUUUCGGGUC